ncrna:unclassified sequences Transposase-2 RNA
GAAGUGCGAACCAAGCCGCGGUGCAAACCGCGUGAGACUUGGAGCGGACGAGCGCAAGCACGUCCUACA